CAACAAAAUAUGGAUAUACAUCAUCUUGAAUACGCAACAAUUUUUCGGUAUAUGAACAAAAAAUGUAAUAAGAAAUUUUCCAAGAAUAUCUAAAUGUUGAAAGAUUGACGGACUCGGGAACUUCGAUCGAUUCUAAAAACUUCUACAAAUCCAACAAAAUCUGCCAAAUCUGCAGCGCUCAAGGACAAAAACAAAUCAAUAUUGUUAAAUGACUGCCGAUUGUUUUAACGCAGAUCAAUGCAGCUGGAAAAUACCCCAACCCAGUUCGAUUCUAAUGAAGGAUUCAGGGACUCAAAUCGCUCUUAAGGACCUCCACGACUCCAACAAAGUCAAGCAAAUCAGCUGCACACAAGGACAACGAAUGUGUAGAUAUAUUCUUAGAUGACCGCAACAAGUUUAGAUGCAGAUCGAUGCAGCUGAUUGAAGGAUUCAAGGACUCCAAUGGAUUCUAAGGACCUCUACGGCUCCGACAAGGAUAUCCCAACAAGGAUCGGAAGGAUAUUUAGCCAAAUAUAGCUAUUUUAAGUAAAAAUAAGAAAUUCAUUAAGAAUAC